rnacentral:rRNA from 1 species
UGGUGGAGCGAUUAGUCUGGUUAAUUCCGAUAACGAACGAGACUCUGGCCUAUUAAAUAGUUCGCCGAUUCCGAUCUGUCGGCGUUAACUUCUUAGAGGGACAAGUGGCUUUUAGCCACGCGAGAUUGAGCAAUAAAA